rnacentral:rRNA from 1 species
AGAGUUUGAUCCUGGCUCAGAUUGAACGCUGGCGGCAUGCCUUACACAUGCAAGUCGAACGGUAACAGGUCUUCGGAUGCUGACGAGUGGCGAACGGGUGAGUAAUACAUCGGAACGUGCCCGAUCGUGGGGGAUAACGAAGCGAAAGCUUUGCUAAUACCGCAUAAGAUCUACGGAUGAAAGCAGGGGACCGCAAGGCCUUGCGCGAACGGAGCGGCCGAUGGCAGAUUAGGUAGUUGGUGGGAUAAAAGCUUACCAAGCCGACGAUCUGUAGCUGGUCUGAGAGGACGACCAGCCACACUGGGACUGAGACACGGCCCAGACUCCUACGGGAGGCAGCAGUGGGGAAUUUUGGACAAUGGGCGAAAGCCUGAUCCAGCCAUGCCGCGUGCAGGAUGAAGGCCUUCGGGUUGUAAACUGCUUUUGUACGGAACGAAAAGACUCUUUCUAAUAAAGAGGGUCCAUGACGGUACCGUAAGAAUAAGCACCGGCUAACUAGUGCCAGCAGCCGCGGUAAUAC